rnacentral:rRNA from 1 species
AAGACCUUGCGCUUUUGGAGCGGCCGAUGCCUGAUUAGCUUGUUGGUGAGGUAAAAGCUCACCAAGGCUUCGAUCAGUAGCUGGUCUGAGAGGACGACCAGCCACACUGGGACUGAGACACGGCCCAGACUCCUACGGGAGGCAGCAGUGGGGAAUUUUGGACAAUGGGGGCAACCCUGAUCCAGCCAUGCCGCGUGAGUGAAGAAGGCCUUCGGGCUGUAAAGCUCUUUCAGCCGGAACGAAACGGUUACGGUUAAUACCCGUGAUUACUGACGGUACCGGAAGAAGAAGCACCGGCUAACUACGUGCCAGCAGCCGCGGUAAUACGUAGGGUGCGAGCGUUAAUCGGAAUUACUGGGCGUAAAGCGUGCGCAGGUGGUUUUGUAAGUCAGAUGUGAAAGCCCCGGGCUCAACCUGGGAACU